rnacentral:rRNA from 1 species
AUUGAACGCUGGCGGCAGGCCUAACACAUGCAAGUCGAGCGGAGCUGCGGACGGGUGAGUAAUGCCUGGGAAUCUACCUGGUAGUGGGGGAUAACUUCCGGAGACGGGCGCUAAUACCGCAUACUAGCAGAUGAGCCUAGGGCGGAUUAGCUAGUUGGUGGGGUAAAGGCCUACCAAGGCGACGAUCCGAAACGGGUCUGAGAGGAUGAUCAGUCAAACUGGAACGGAGACACGGUCCAGACUCCUACGGGAGGCAGCAGUGGGGAAUAUUGGACAAUGGGCGAAAGCCUGAUCCAGCCACGCCGCGUGUGUGAAGAAGGUUUUCGGAUUGUAAAGCACUUUAAGUUGGGAGGCGGUACCAACAGAAUAAGCACCGGCUAACUUCGUGCCAGCCGCCGCGGUAAUAC